UAGGCCUGUGGUUCCAGUCCUGACCUGAAUGGCUUGGGCUUGGGCCUAUGAUAUAGAUCCAAUAACGGACUUAGCCCUGAUUUAAUUCAAAUUUCUACUAUGAGCUUGGACCAUCAUUUAGUUCUCUAAAUUGUAUCUCGUUUUGAAUAGCCACUAACAACCUUCUCUCUUUUUUUUAUUUUUCAGUGUUUUUUCCUUUUCUUAUUUGAUAGAGUGGAUUGUUUUUAAAAGAUGUGACCAACAUCUUUCUAAUGGGGUAGCAGUCCCUGGAAAUGCCUACAACAAUGAUGCAAGGCAGCAUGGCAUGUGUACCAUUUGCAAAUAAGAGACAAAAACUUACAGUUUUAAUAUGAUGAAUCAUGGUACCAAUGAACCACAGUGUGAAUAGAAUCAAAAGAUCAAAUCCCAAAGGCAAAAAAGAGUUAAAGAACUUAGCUGCAUAAUCAUUAUAGCCAGGCAUUUAUAGCUACACCAGGAAAGUCUCUCAUUGUGGAUGAUUAUGGACAGGAUGCCUUUGCUUCCGAUAGAAAAAAGGCAAAAAUGCUCUACUUCUCUAUUGGAUAUGGGAAAGCUUAUGUUAGACUGGCUUGUGAUUAGGAGGGGCACUACUAAAGAGCAUGAAAAUAAUGAGUGCAUAUCAAAGCAGCCUUUCUCGCACUGCCGUUGUUAAGGGAGGCCAACUGUCCCUGUCAAACGUGGGGCCCAAACUACAUCAAAGGUGGGCCAUGUAUGAUCAAAUGGGACUAUUUACUAAUGGCUAGAAAUUAUCUACUUUCUCUUGCCCAUGUGAUGAGCAAAUGGGACUUAUUUUUACAUAAUGUGAUCCUCAUGGUGGGGCCAACCUAUUUGUGGGGCCCAUGGCGAUGAAUGAGUUAUAU